CGCUUGUAACAGCAAGUCCUGUGAUGUUUCGUGUUCAAUCGAUUGCACAAAAUUACAGGUUUCUCCAUAAAACACGUAUAUCCGUAUUUCCAACGAUAUCUCGCGUCUACAGCUUCCGAAGGAUGAUAUUUAUUGGAAUAAAGCUGAUGGAGAUCCGUUUGUUUCUAACGAAUGUUCGUCUCGUGUUUAAAUAAUCUUCGAUGAGGGAGAUCUUCAUGCUGAACACUUUACGCUGAGGAACUUAAAAUUAAAAUGAAAUCGAAACGGAACGUUAUGUUUGCAAAAUCGUGAACACGCAGGCUUUGUCGAUUUUACUAAAAUUUUGUUCUGUGCGAGGUACCUUGGUACUGAAUAACAAAUUACCGCUCAGAUAAUGAAAAGGAUUGUCGGCGACAAGAAGCCGAUUAAUAGGCUGUCGGUCGGUAAGCGUCGGCGACAAGAAGCCGAUUAACAGGUUAUCGGUCGGUAAGCGCCGGCGACUGAAAACCGAUUAAUCGGCUGCCGGUCGGUGAAGCGUUAAUCAUCGCGUGGACAACAUCCGACUGAAAAUUGAAACGUCAACAACGAGCCACAACGCGGCUGAAAUUUCUAGCCCGAUCAAUAAAUCUGGCUGAAUGACUGGGCGGAAAUUCGCGUUUCCGCAAGAAGAUGCGAAGCAGCAGACUUAAGAAAAUUGAGAUCAACGCGCUUCCGUCGGCGCGUAAAUAACAAACACGAAUCGUUGCUCGAGCUUUGGACGAGCUUCUAACCGGCUAAAUAAUCGAAAUGUGAAACGUGAAAUAACUAUAUCGAAGCUGACGUACAAAUUCGAAUAUCUUUAUUCAUUGAUAUCUUCGCGCUGACAAUUAAAAGGUCGCAUACAGUUAACGUGGAUCGGAAUAUCGAUACAGACGCACCGGUUCCAAAUCAUCAGAAACUGUAAACACAUUUACGUACUUGCACGUGUGUCUGUGUCGAUAUGCCGAGCCCGGUGAUUACCUAUAUUAAAUAUCUAUCGUUAAUCCUUCGAAACCAGCUGUCCAUCAGUCAGAAAGCUGUUUCUCUAAGUCUUGUUUUUACGUUUACAUUCGAGAAAAGGAGCUUGAUCUUGUCAAAGUUUGAAACGAAAGUACAAGUACUUAACAUCGUUACGUAGACGAUUAAUCGGUAAAUUUGCUGACAGACUAUCCGUUCUUGUAACUAGUUGUUGGAUGAUGCUUUAUGGAUGCGACAAAUUUUAUAACAAAUAUUCUUACGCAAAGAAAUAAAAUAUAUUUCCUUUUCUUUUUUUCCUAUUUUUUUAAUGUACCUUCUCACUCGUGUUGAGAAUGGAUCGACUAUGGUAGUUAGAAUAAUUUUUCUGAUUUAACCUCAUUUUAAGUUUUACAUUCAGACGCAUGCAAAACGAUUUUAUCGACACGCAAAAUUUCUUCGAUAUUCAUCGAAAUUGUUAGGUGUCUCUACAGUUGAAUCCUCCAUGUGUUCCAUAUAUUUCGUUCGAACUAUAUUAAUUUGAAAUAUUGUUUCGAAUUAACUCUGCACUAACGAUAAUUCUUUAAAAAUUGUUUACAAAUUGCCACUCUGCGAAGAACGUCGAUACAAUAAGAAAAAGAAAGAAGAAUAUGGGGCAAGGUGGGAUUGUCGUUUAUUUUGCAUCGCUGUGCUUCCUGAAAUGCUGAAAGCAGACUGACUUUUGCACGACACCGAUAAUUACAGUGAGUCGAUGGCGCCCUCGUGCGUUCACCGACCAUUUUUCUGUUUCUAACGAUCCUGAUCUUAUCUUGUACCAUCGUUUGAACAUCAAUAGGUAAGUGACUGUUCUCGAUCGGAUGACUGAAAUAUUAUCAAGUGGGAAAUUGCUUAAGCUAUUUAAGCUAUGAACGUUGUUUGUAAGCAAAUUAAGACAUCGAGAUAAUUUUUUACAGAACAUUUCUGUACUUCUGCAAUAUUAAUAUACGUACAAAAGAAAGACAGAGCGACAAAGUGGAAGCAAUUGUACAAAAGAAAUAGCUGCUAUGGUAAAGCAGCUGCAGCCUUUGAUGUUCUCAAAACCACAUUGCACAAAGACCUGGGUUUAUCUCGAGAAUAUUCUCAACUAAUAGAAUCCUUCCAAACUGUGUUUUCGCGGAAGGAUUAGUAUUUCAUUUAAAAGAAAUGGAGAGCCUAUUAUUUGGUCUACCAACAAUGAACACACCCAAAUAUUAGGUUGUUCCAAAAGCUUCUUUCGUUUAAUAAAGAAAUAUUAGAUGCGCAACAUUCUUUGUUUUAUAUUAUUUUAUCGAAUUACACGUAAUUUGUUCUAUGGGAACAAAAUCAUUCAAUAAAAUAAUAUUAUAAAACGAAAAAUGUUGCACAUUUAUUUCCUUGGGAAAAGAAGGAAUCCUUUGGAACAACAGGUUGUCUCUUACAAGACACUGUCACUGUCUCUAUUUUUUCUUUUUUCUUCGCACUUUCCAUGUCAAGUUUCGAAAGUUUAUUUCAUGAUAUUUCCAUAAACAGAUAUUGAUAGUGUGUGUGUAUAUUUUUUACAGAUCAAUUAAUAAGAUCUUUUAGUUAUUUUAAGUAUUACUUAAAUUAACGAUUAAUAAGAUCAAAAUAUCAAGAAAUAAAUUUUGGGGCAAUUUUUUCCUAGCGUUCCCGUGUCUCCCCAAUUGUUUUGCAUAAUUGUGCAGGACACAAUUGCAAGCACAAGAAUAGAAUUAUGCGACGAUAGCAAUGAAAGUACAUGAGGAAACAUUCUAUUACAAAAGCUAGAUUUGUCCAUGGAGGAUCGAACAGUAUUCUUAGAUGAUAUCGAUCUUGAUUAAAGUGCCAAAAGAAAAACUUUUGGCUAUAUUGCUUCUUAAACGUCACUUUCAUUCCAUGAAAUAUGACUUGAAACGUUUUCCUAACAUUUCGAAUGUGUAGCGUCGUGAGAUUUGAAAUGCACCUAACCUCAAUUAGGAAAAUAUUGAUCGUGUAAGAAAGAAUCAUCCAACAAGUAUUCACAUAUUUUAUUAGAAAAAAGGACUUACGGAUUAGUUAUUGGUAGAUUAGUGAUAUAAUGAAUCGUUAACUAAAAAUAUCUACACUCGUCUGGCUUUCAGAAAUAAAUGUAAGCAUAUAAAAAUCGUGGUAAAGUCGAAUUAAAAAAAAAAAAACGGUCGUUUACGUUCGCGAUUGUCAACUUAAAGAAUAAGAUCGAAGAAUUAAAUAAGAUAGGAACUGAAAAUAACGCAUUAGAGCGCGUUUAACAGAAUUUUAUACAGAAAAUUCGCGGACAUGUGAAACUUGUUCCGAAUAACCGACGUUCGAUCGGACAAUCAUUUAAUCAAACACUUUGUUAAGUAUCGCGGUAGUCAUUUUCCUCGGUUAAUCAAUUAACCAAAGAAACGAUCAAUUAGUUAGCUAAGCGAUUUCAUGGAGAAUCGAGAAAGGAACUUUGUCGAUCGAUUUUUUAAACAAUUUGCAGUUAAAUUCGUUUAAACUUAAUUCACAUCAGUUACCUUCAACAAUAAAUAAUUAAUUCGUAUACAAAGAAGGAUUGACGUUUAAUACGUUUCCAUUUCUAUUCUGGCAAACUCACAGAAGCUUAAUUAUUUAUUGUUUACAAUUAUGUGGAAUACAAAACGUUUUACUCGUCGACACUUCGCAGUUUUCGAACAUAAUGUUUUCUAUAAAUUACGUGUGCAAAAUAACGUAGAAAAAUACACGCAGCUUCUGCGUCUCGCAGCGAUAAACAAAACGUUACAUCGAACUGCAAAAGAUCCAUACAGUUGUUGCUCUCUGUUCUUAUCUCGUAGUUCAAUCUGUACAGAUAAUUGCUCGUCUUAAUUCUUCAAUUAUUCGGCAAUUACUUAGUAAAAUAUUGUACGACACAUUCUUCGAAUAUCCACCGUUCUGUUACGAUCGAGACAAAUCGUAAAGAUUCAGAGUGUUUGUGCUACAAGUAAAUGGGCAAUGAUCAACUCUCAAAGAGACAACACUAGAAAUGCAAUGAAAAAUGCACUUAUUAGUACUUUAAUAAGCUAAUACUUAUCUCCUAUUUAUCACGUAUCCGUUUACGAAGUUAGACAGAAAGUAAUAAAAUAAUACUACGAUGAAAGCUACAAUGUCAUACUUUAAAAUAAAUUACAAAGUUUCAAGCAAAUUAACUGAUUUAGGACAUCCACAGCGGUUUUCUGAAUUCAUCGUAGUUGAUCUCUUAGAAUUAUGAUUUUAUAUACUGUUUACAUUUCGUUCACUGGAUAUUCUGAAACCUAGUAUCUCAGGUUAUAUGCACAUUCUUUAUGGACCAAUCGGUGCCUCUGACCGGCCAAUGAGAACCGUCUUCUCGUCAUCCGGUCCCGACUGGACCAAUGAGAACAGGCUUCUAAUGAUCGGCCAAUCAGAGACACUGCUUUCAGCAUAGCAAGUAUAAAACAUAACCUAAAACAGUGAGUUUCAGAAUAAACCUGAAGAAGUUCUUAAAUGUCGGCACACAAAGUAACAUAGAGUGUAAGUCAGUUGACAUGUCAGUGAGUGAUGAGUCAUGUGACAACUACGACAAAGGUCGUAGUAGACCAAAGGAUACAGUACACCAAAAUAAGAAGGAAUUUCGAACUGCAAUUUAAUUUGCAACGCUAGGCAUUGCUUAGAUCGACAAUUUCCUGGCGAACGGUCGUGCUGGUCUUAUUUCCCGACCAGCUCGCUUUCCGGACCUGAAUCCAUUCGAUUAUUAGUUCCGAGACGUUAACAAUCUUUUGUUUAUAAAACUUGAAUCGACAGUGCCGAAAUUCUUCGUCAGUGUGACGACCAAAGUUGCCGACAAAUCUGCGUAAACAGUUGGGACAAUUUCGACGAAAUAUGACGCGAUGCGCUCAUGCUUCUAUGUGAGCUGUACCUCUGAUGACUUGGAGCAAUUUGUCUGAACAUGGCGUGCCGUAGCAGUCGCUGCUGCACUAAUACACCCUGUCAACAGCUACAUACAUAUGUAUGUGGCCAACGUUCUCAGUAUGCCUCAGUAUGCAAUGUGAUCUCCUUUGAUCUUACAAAGUCUACCGGCGCUCGCUGUAUAACAUAUAACUUGCUGCAUAUGUAACAUAAUUGUAUAACGUGUUACACAGAAGUGUUGUGUAACGCGUCUUUUUUUAACGCGUUAUACAACUUUGCUGUACAAAGGUCCAAUAGCACGCGAGCAUGAGCAGAUUCUUUACGAAAAAGUAAGAAGAAAACGUGGAUAAAAAUACAUAGAACAGUGGCUAAAACGGAAUAUCCUCAGUGGGAUGGAAAAGGAGGCAGCCACGGGCUAAUUGCAAGUGGAAAAUGCGGAAAAGGAGGGAAAUCGUUUGAAAGAGGAAAAAGGAAAAGCGUGCUAAAUCAGCUUCUGCCGCGCUUCGCACACGUUCUGACUCAUCCUGCGUAACGCACUUGAUAAGCAGCUACGAUGAAUUCAAUGCAAACUACACGUUUAGAUAAAAAAUUAUUCGUUUACAAGCACAUACAUGUUUCUUUUUUGAAAUUAAAAUUAACGGUACAUACAAGGAAUAGUUGAUUUCGGCAGAUACACCGCAAUUAUCUGUCUAGACAGACUCCUAAGUACAAAAUUGUAUUUUCAUUUGUCAUUCACAUUAGUAUAGCGAAGAAAGGAAAGGAAUCGAUUAUUCAGUCGUUCAUGUGAAUAGUUAUGAAUCAUUCUUAUUUUUAUAUACCUACGCUAUGUCACUCGGGACAGUUUAUAAUAAUAGAUCCUAAUAAAUAAAUUUUCUUAGAUUAAAGCGUGAAAAAUUUCUACAUCAGAAGCGAGAAAAUCCGAAGAAAAUCCACCCGGAGUGUAUUUUUCCUCUAUGUACAUGCAAUGUUUUGUUCUGAAUGAGAAAAUACAUAAAAAAUUUCAAUUCCAAUUCCUUCAUUUCUCUUCACUUCAUAUUGUUCACUCCUUGUAGAAAUUUUAGAAAUAACCUCAAUACAAGUACGAGCGCGUAAUUUACGGAAUUCUUUAAUUUCUUUAAUUAUUCGAACGAAUUCGUUUCAUAGAUUUCUUGCAAACAAGAAGGUGAAUUUCGCAUUUUCGAAAAAUAUUUCUAUCCGGAAUGUCACAUUGACGUUAAAAUCAUUUUUGCGCCCGAUAAUUUCCCAUCUGAAUCUCCACAGAAAUUGAACGUGAUAAUCCCCGUGGUUAUUGAACAAGAAUUUUCCCUCAUUUUCAUUUUGCAAAAAAUCUAUAAACCCGUUUAUUAUUCGUGUUUCUCGUAAAAAUUCUACAAUCUAAUUUUUAUGACAUUUCGGUAAAAACUUUUGCAUCUAAUGUUUGUAAUUUUUUGCAAAAAUCUGGGACUACAAUGUUUGCAACGACUGCUGCAAAAUUGUCAAAGGCUUAAAAUUUAAUAUUCAGCGUUCCCCCUCCCCCCACCCUGAAUACGUAGUUGCAGAAAAAUUGCAAUCCUAACUUUCCUCAGUUUCUUUGCGAACGUUCUAAAAUCUAAAUGUUCUUAAUCUUCCUGCAAGACACUUCCCCCUAGUUCUCCCGCUAAAGUCGUACAUUUUUGCAGAAACCUGACAAACAUUUCAACAUAGUGGUCUUCGUUAAUUUCUUGAUUAUUAAGAAUAAACAAUAUUAUCAAUAGUAAUAAUAGUAUCAUUGAUUUCUUUAUCAGUAGCAACCUCUAUUUUCGGGAGAAACAUACAUCUUCCUUUUUCAAAAAUUCCAAUUUUUUCCCCCUAGCUUCUCGUUCUAUUCAUCGCGUGACUUUAGUAAAAAUUAGUAGCCCCAAUUGCUUCUCCUUUCGAUAUCCAAAAAUCUCCACGUACCAUGUGCCCUGUUCCAAAAAGAACUCUCGACAAUAACCUCUAUUUAUUGCAACAAUGUUCGCAUUAAAAAUCGCUAAAAAGGUUGCAAGGAGAUUUAACGUUUUGCAAAGAAGCGCAACUUCGUUCAAUUGUCCGAGAGGGUUGCCGGUGGAGAUGCUAAAUUUACAUUUGCCCACCGUGGGAAUGUUUACGGUGCAACAAUGUGCACUUUCUGCAAAAGCAACUUCCGAUAAUAUUUGUCAGGGUGUUUCUCGUGAGAAUGUCUGCAAUUAGGAUUUUUUCGCUUUCACACGAAACUUGUCUCACUUUUUGUGGAAAGAAAGUGAAAAGGAUUUGACCCGAGUAGAUUUGCAAAAAACGUUGCAUUAUGUGAUUUGUAUUACUUUGGAUUCUCGUUCGGCGACUUAGCUUUCACUGAAAUUAGCAACCGGGCUCUUAUCCAACGCAGAAAGCAAUAAUAUACAGCUCGGCAAUUAGCCAGAUAAUUUUUACUUUUACCUUUAGAUAAAUAUCAAUAGAUAGGUAUCUUAUUUAAUAGUGCUUUAUCUCAUAGUAAAAUGGUUCAUAUCAACUCGUUUUUUUUUCUUUUUAGAAGUUAUAUUCAAAUGAAAUAUAUAUUUGAAUAAACGAAAACCAUAGCAACGUGGAUAAUUCAAGAGAAAUAUUUACACGACUAAUUUAAAGCUAAUUAUGAUAUUCCUUCGAAUCGUACCAAACUAUAAGUACGAUUUACGAUGAUAAAGAAUGAAAUUAGAAAUUUCAUUAAGAUGAAAAUAUCCCGGUAGAUUGUAUCUGUAAUUGAAAUCGAUUGUAUAAUCAAGAAAGAGAGAGAAAGAGAGAGAGAGGGAGGGAGGGAGAUGCCUCCCAUAAUUGAAAGACCUGAAUUUGAAAUUCGAAUUCGAGAUAUAAUUACAAAUCUUUCACGAAAAGAAAUUUCGCAAAAUUACUCCGCCACCCAUUCGACAUAAUUAAUAAUUAACAAAUAUAAAUAUAAAUCGUGACUUAAAUUACGAAUUUUCCGGAUUAAUUUAAUUGAAGACUCUUUUCGCAGAAAGUAACCUAUUUUUGAAUAAUAGCAAUUAACAAUAGUCAUUUUCGAUGCUCUACGUUGGUAUCCUGUCUGUCAUUAGGAAAUCGCGAACCUAAUCGGCAAAUGCAAUCUAUAUUUUCGUAAUUCGAUCGUUUAUCAUCCUAACUUCGCUAAAUAUAAAAACUAAUUAGAACGAGAGGAGUAAUUAAGGCUAAGACACGAAAAGAAAAAAAAAAGAAAAGAAGAAAUCACAUUUCCAAUCGAACGUUUAACAAACGCAGGACUCACAGCAUUAUUCGAUCUGUUAAUUGUUUUCGUACAAUUCGCGUACGCGUUUAAUUAAAAGAAGCUCUAAGAAUCACAUUAUCGAUAAUUCCACGUAAAAAUUAAAGAGAAGAAGAAAACACAUAAUUAUAGAAAAUUGCACGAAAGUUGCAUAUAUCCCUAUGCUUCCACUUUAAUACUGAUGCACUAACUACACUUACGCUCGAAAGAUUGCACUAUCGACUACCUCACCUUUACAGUUAUAAAAAUCACUAUUAAAAAAUAUAGUGAAAUACUGGUCGUUUGAGUACGCUAUCGAGUAGAAAAUUCCUUACGUUAGAUACAAGAGUGAUAGACGUACAUAUUUUAAAGAAGAAGAAGAAGAAGAAGAAGAAGAGAUAGGAAAGAACGAAGAGAUAUAAGAUUAAUUUUUAAUACGUAAUAUUCGUAAUUAGUAAGUUGUACGGUCGCAAUUUCAGUGAACUAUACUUCUCUUACCUACGAAAUUCUUCAUACAGUAAUUCUCAUUCUCGUAUUGCGAAAUUUAUCUGUUCGUUUAGUAUAUCACCUAGUUCCACCUUAAGUUUCUCUUUCCCCUCGGUUCUACACUUUGUGUCAAAAAAAGGAAAUAAUAAUAAACGUGCGUUAUACAUUCAACGAAUCUACCAUAAGCCUGCUGCCUUUUUACAAUAAGCUUGGCUAUUUGGUCUUUCAAAUUUUCCAAAUUUUCCAGCAAACCAUCAGCAUUUGCAUCGAUCAACUAACCAGUCCGGGAGCUCAUCAGACUGUUCCCGGAAUUGCCAGGUGAAACUACCCGAAAACGCUAUGUACAAAUUUGUAUUCUCAACCCUUUGCACUCCUGUGUCCAGUGUGACUGGACAAGAGUUUUUAUGUCAGGAGCUCCGUUGUCGAGUCUCAGUCGACAUUCUUUCAGUGCCACCCCUUUUUUGUGAAACGUGCAAAAGAAAAGGAGGAUUGCAUCCUGGAAAUUGUUUCAAGAUAUAUCGUACACUUAAAUAUCAGUUUCAUUCACAUUAUUGUUGUAUUUUCUAAUUUUUAAGUGAAUUUCUUCCUUCCUUUAUCUAUUUAAAUUGUCUUAGUUUUUAGUUAAAGUAAAUUUCAAAUAAAACACUUGAAAGCGUUGGCAGCUGCUGGUAACCAAAUUGAAAUGAAAUUCCGAGUGCAAAGGGUUAAAGAGCAAGCACACUCGACUAUCGUCGUUUAAUCAGUUGCUUCUUAUCGUACACACGGUAGAACCUGCAGCACCCUAACAUCCACGCAAAUAUUUUCAUCCAAAUGCAAGAAUUAUGCAAAUAUCAGUCCAAUAAUUUGCCCGCUACGUGUUCAGUCACCAACGACAUCGUCAGUCCAAUUUGUCGAAUGUUCACGUGCAAACAGAUUGUAAAGACUCGAGGAUGAUAUAAAUGAAAAAAAGAAAUCAAAAGUUACUCGAAUGCUCUACUUUUAAAAGUAUUGUUCCAUGAACUUAUAUAUAUAAGCAUACAGGAAAGUGAUAUAAAAUUGUAGACAGGAUGUAUAAUAGUGAAGGACAGAAGUAUUGUUCCAUGAACAAUACUUUUUAAAGUAGAAUAUACUGGAACAAUACAUGGAACAAUACUUUUGAAAGUAUAUAUAUAUAUAUAAUAUAUACGUAUAUAUAAUACGUAUAUAUAAGUAUAUAUAUAUAUAUAAGUAUAGAGGAAAGUGAUAUGAAAUUGUAGACAGGAUGUAUAAUAGUGAAGGACAGAAGUAUUAUUCCAUGAACAAUACUUUUGAAAGUAAAGUAUACUGGAACAAUACAUGGAACAAUACUUUUGAAAGUAUAUAUAUAUAUAUAUAUAUAUAUAUAAGUAUAGAGGAAAGUGAUAUGAAAUUGUAGACAGGAUGUAUAAUAGUGAAGGACAGAAGUAUUGUUCAUGGAACAAUACUUUUGAAAGUAGAAUAUACUGGAAAAAUACAUGGAACAAUACUUUUGAAAGUAUAUAUAUAUAUAUAAGUAUACAGAAAAGUGAUAUGAAAUUGUAGACAGGAUGUAUAAUAGUGAAGGACAGAAGUAUUGUUCCAUGAACAAUACUUUUGAAAGUAUAUAUAUAAGUAUACAGGAAAGUGAUAUGAAAUUGUAGACAGGAUGUAUAAUAGUGAAGGACAGAAGUAUUGUUCCAUGAACAAUACUUUUGAAAGUAAAGUAUAUUGGAACAAUACAUGGAACAAUACUUUUGAAUGUAUAUAUAUAAGUAUACAAGAAAAUGAUAUGAAAUUGUAGACAGGAUGUAUAAUAGUGAAGAACAGAAGUAUUGUCCAUGGAACAAUACUUUUGAAAGUAGAGUAUACUGGAACAAUAUAUAUAAGUAUACAGGAAAGUGAUAUGAAAUUGUUAUAUAUAUAACGUGUUUAAAUAAUAAAAUAAAUAAUAACAAAAAA